UCUCGCUGGCCCAUUCAGCGCUGUAGCCUGGAGGAGUGCAGGGCUGAGGUGAGCAUCUGGAGGAAGCCCUGCUGAAUGGGGCCCUUUCAUCCAGGAGCCUGCGCUUCACCGAGCUCAAGCAGAGCGGGGUGCUGAAGAGUUUUAGCACUGCGUGCGCCAUAUGAAGAGGAGUGGCAGCAACUGAAGCAUGUGGACAUCGUUGAUAACACUUACCAGGAACACAGAAGAGAACAUGCGUCCCCAUCGGCACACUGGCCCUUUGACUGACAGCUCAACAGCCUGCUUUUGGAGUUCUACCACAUGUUGAGUGAGAGAGGAGGGAGCAUCGCUGGUCCUGAUCCAGCAUUUCAGGCCAAUCCACAAUACACAAGUUUACACAGGCUGUUCUGCUGAGUUGGCUGUCUGAUUGCAAAAUGCUGAAGAUAUUUGUGACUGUAGUUAACACUGAAGGAGUUUGCAGUAGUAGGAAGUAGGACCCAACUGAACAUUUUGUGGCUGAUACAGGUACCCGUUUUUAAAUGAAUAAAAAUUCUGACCAACAUUAUCGACCAAUAUCUAUUUUAUUGGUCAUAACGCAUUGAGC
ensembl:lncRNA